rnacentral:lncRNA from 1 species
AGCUUGCAUUCUACCUCAAAAGCAGUUGGGGAAGCCAGAGCCAAGCCCCUCUCCACCUACGUCCUGAAUUUCCCUCAGUCUAAGGCUGGGGGUGAGGCCGAGGACCUCUAAAUCCGCAAACACACCAAAAUACCCACCCAUACGCAUACACACCCACACUCUGUUCCCCCUCUGAAACCUGGAAUCACUCCUGCCUGCCCCACCCAGCUCCACCCACCCUGGCUAGGCAGGUUCUGUAGAGACCUGCUCCGCUGUCUCUCUGGCACCCCCACCCCCAUCCCAGCUCCCAGAAGGUACCUGCCCCCCAACACAGCACACAAAAGCAGACACGUGUGCACAUUCAUGUCCCAUAGCACCCCAUUCCCUAGCCUUCCCCAGACCCAUUCCUAGUCCGUCUUGAAGAGAACACUGGGGGUGGAAAGGCUGCAGGAGAAAAGGCAGGCCCCACAAUUUCCACCACCAGGCUUUGAGCUGCUUCCUCCCUUGGCCUAGGCAGAGAACUGGCCCGUACCUGCCCACCAGAAAACAGGGGAAUUACUCAAGUGCAAGAUUAAAGGCAAUAAUGAGCAAUCAGACCGAACUGGAAUGACAGUAGGGGAAGGUGAAGAGACUUUGGGAAAAGGAAGAGCACUGAAGUCAGACCUGGCACAGCCUUUUACGAGCUAUGUAAUCUCAGGUGAGUCGCUCCCCUUUUCCAAACUUCAGUUUCCUUAUCUAUAAAAUGGCAAUAAUAGUGCCUACUUCAGAAGGUUAAGAGUUUUCAGCAAAAUAAUGUAUGCAGAAUAUUACAGAUUCUGGCACACAAUAGAUGCUUAAAAAAAUGUUAGUUCCCACCUUUUCUCCUUUAGUGGGUCCACAGCGAAUCCCCUCCACUUCCUGCUCCCAUAACCUCACUGUAAGGAGAAACACCCCAAAAUAAGAUGGAACCACCUCUAGGUGCAGGGUUGUCCCUGUUCUAAAUUAGACCACAUCCAGGUACUGCCUGAGAGAGCAACCAACAUGCCUCUUCCUCCUCUCUGCUUCUUUCUUCAGAGGCCCUUGGAUCCCCCACCUUUCCUCCUCUCCUUCCUCCUUCCUCACUUACAGUAAAGCAGACCUGGGUUCCAAUCACCUCCCACUCUCCUCUAGGCUCUAAGCCCAGCUGUGUGUGGAGCGGCAGGGGAAGGAGGCCCCAAGCCUCCCACCCUACCCAGCCCCCAGCUUCAUCCCACUCUCCCCUCUCCCUGCCCCACCCUGAUUACCAGGAUAUCCUCAGGUCUGCUGAUUCCAAGCCUGCUUCUCUCAAACCAGUUCCCAGCUGUUAUGUCUAUAAUUACCAAUCUUGCCAGGGGCAUCCGACAAAGCACAGCAAAACCUCAUUUCCAAAGGGCCCCACCAUAAAGGGCCUCUGCCUCCUACUCUGUACCAAGCAGGGUAGAGACAAGGAAUGCAAACAUUCUCCCUGGCCCACCACAGUUCUAUCCAGACUACAACAGAGAAGGUGAGAGAGGGCUGCCCAAGCCACAUCACCAAGAGACAGGAUAAAGAAGGGGAGGGCCGCCGUAGGGUAGAAUGUGAGUAGGACUUAGUCCCAGGCCUUUCCUUCACCUCUGCUGCCAAAAUCUCAUCAUGCACAGGGUUACCCACCUGUGGAAGGUAAAAGGGAAAAUUUCAGGUCAAUUCAGAGAGAGGGGAAGCUGAUGUCAAGUGAACAGGGAGAUGGCUCCCCACAAGGAUGAGGGUUGAUGCAUACAGGAGUGAGCUGCCCAGGAAAGAGGAGGAAAGAGCAAGUUUUAAAAGUCCCAUCCCCAGCCCAGACCCUGAGAAGAGGCAAUAAUACCCUAGCCUCUCUUCUCCCCUAAUACCUCCAACUCUACCAAGCCCAUAGCACAAGCAGGAAAGGGAUGAUUAACUUUGUUUUAUAGACAGAGAAACUGAGGCCAAAUCCCCACUUCAUACUGCAAGGUACAGGACUACCAAAUACCCUGUGUGCCUUCUUGCUCACGCUCAGCCUCCACCAGGAGUGCCAUCCUAAGACCCUUCCUGUUGGCCUAACUCAUCCUUUAACCAGGUAAAGUCUGUCCACACAAGGGAAUAAUAUUCAGCUAUAAAAGGGAAUGAAGUACUAAUACAUGCUACAUGCUACCGUGUGGAUUAACCUGGAAAACAUUAUGUUAAGCGAAGGAAGCCAGAUUCAAAAGGUCAUGCAUUCUAUCAUUCCAUUUGUAUGAAAUAUCCAGAAUAGGUACAUCCAUAGAGACAGGAUGCAAAUUGGUGGUUGCCAGGGGCUGGGGUAAGGGGAAAUGGCGACAAUUGUGUAAUGGGUAUGGGUUUUGUUUCGGGAUGGUGCAAAUGUUUGGGGACUAGACAGAGGUGGUUGUUGCACAGCACUGUGAAUGUACUAAAUGCCACUGUUCACUUUAAAAUGGUUUAUUUCCUAUUAUGUGAAUUUCACCUUAAUUUUUUUAAAAUCCAGCUAACAGGGCAUCUCCUGCAGGAACCUUCCCUGGCACCUCACCCCAGGGCCAAGCACUCUUCCUCUAUGCUCCAGUGGCCUCCUGAACACACCUCCACACAGCACUCAC